rnacentral:sRNA from 1 species
GAUCUUGUGGACGUCUUGGCCUCCUCUUGUCCCGAUGCGUUCGGGGCCAGCACAGGCUCCUCCCGGACCGGAAUCACUGAAGUUUCAAUUGAUUGCUAUUCGUAGUCUUCAUCGUACUCCUCAUCAGACAAGUCUUCGUAAGCAUUGAUCUCAACCUGAUAGCGGAGAAUCCCCCCUAUCCCACCAAAGCCCCUGACAAACUGAGAACCUUCCUGCGACUUGUUCGUGACAAACUCUAGGCUGCAACCAAAUUGCCGGUAAUUUUCUGCAAACCACUCGAGCAACAAGGUCUUUUCUAUUACCUCCAGUUCUGCAGAAGUCGCCUUAUCUCGGAAGUUGCUCUGAUCUGUCUCCUGUGCCUUGUUGAGGUGCUUUACCGUAGUUUCUCCAGUGACAGAAUUUUUCAAAACAUAUCGGUUGAUAUCAAGAUUUUCCCACACAAUCAGUGUCUCAACUGCACCCAUUUCAAGUGCUGACAUCGUAUCAUCCACACUAAAAACAUACUUCCCAGUGUCUUGGCUAAUCUCUUCAAAAUACUUCCCAAUCAACUUCUUUUCUUGAAUGAACUUGACAUUUGAAAGCUCUUCAGCAGAUAUCUCAAUAGCCUGGUUAAAGCCAUUCUCCCCACCAUAAGAAACGUCAACCACCUUGAGUAUCUUGGCUUGUAGACGCUGAUCAAACAUGUCAGAUUGACUCAAUUCAGUCUUAAAGUCAGCAGAACCAGCUAUAAUGAGCCCAGAAACAUUUGGCUGGCUGGUGGCAGGGUUGAUGAAGAAUUGGGUAGCAAGCUCAGCUGUCUUGCGCACAUAGUUGUGGCGUUUCUCCAUGCGUAGGCGGGCAAAGCGAAGUGCUGACUGCCCUCCUCGUCCAUGUUUCUUGGGGAGAUCAACAGAAAACUUAUGAAGAACUUCUCUUGAGUUGCCACUGAGUGUUCCGAACAGCGUCCCGUUGCCAUCCAUGAUGAUGAAGCCAAACUUGUCAUCAGAUUCCAACAGCUCAUUCAACGCUUCGGUGUGAAACUUGUUGUCACAAAGGUACAAUGAAGCAUUGAUUGGCCUGAACGGCUCAAAGUCAACGGUGACUUUCUUUUCUUUGCCCUCGUCUGUGACAAUGGUUCCAGUGUAAAGCACUAAUCCAUUGGGGGGAACUCGGUUGUACAGCUUCAACCUUUGUUGAGCAGAUGUGAUAGCAGCCAAAACAGAUUGCCUGUUGACUCUGCUCUUGAUGUUUGAGGCAGUUCCGUAUUCAUCACCCAACAUCUUGGUGACUCGAGAGACCUGAUCACGAGGUGGCAUGAUCAGUGAUAUCAUGCUCGUCCCAUUUCCACGUGCAGCAUCAAGUCCUUUAAUCAACUUCUUGACCUUCCAGAUCUCAAUGUUCUUGUCAGUUUCAUGGCUGUCAGCCAUCUUGGUUGUACU